AGUGAACGCUGGCGGUAGGCCUAACACAUGCAAGUCGAACGGCAGCACAGUAAGAGCUUGCUCUUACGGGUGGCGAGUGGCGGACGGGUGAGGAAUACAUCGGAAUCUACUUUUUCGUGGGGGAUAACGUAGGGAAACUUACGCUAAUACCGCAUACGACCUACGGGUGAAAGCAGGGGAUCUUCGGACCUUGCGCGAUUGAAUGAGCCGAUGUCGGAGUAGCUAGUUGGCGGGGUAAAGGCCCACCAAGGCGACGAUCCGUAGCUGGUCUGAGAGGAUGAUCAGCGACACUGGAACUGAGACACGGUCCAGACUCCUACGGGAGGCAGCAGUGGGGAAUAUUGGACAAUGGGCGCAAGCCUGAUCCAGACAUACCGCGUGGGUGAAGAAGGCCUUCGGGUUGUAAAGCCCUUUUGUUGGGAAAGAAAAGCAGCAGGUUAAUACCCCGCUGUUCUGACGGUACCCAAAGAAUAAGCACCGGCUAACUUCGUG
rnacentral:rRNA from 1 species